rnacentral:rRNA from 1 species
GACGAACGCUGGCGGCGUACUUAACACAUGCAAGUCGAACGCGUGGCGAACGGGUGAGUAAUACGUGGGGAACUGCCCAUCAGGGGGGGGUAACACUUGGGAACAGGUGCUAAUACCGCAUCUUGAUGGAUGGACCCGCGGUGCAUUCGCUAGUUGGUGAGGUAACGGCUUACCUAGGCGACGAUCCCUUGCUGGUCUGAGAGGAUGAGCAGCCACACUGGGACUGAGACACGGCCCAGACUCCUACGGGAGGCAGCAGUGGGGAAUAUUGCACAAUGGGCGCAAGCCUGAUGCAGCCAUGCCGCGUGUAUGAAGAAGGCCUUCGGGUUGUAAAGUACUUUCAGUCGGGAGGCGUUACCGACAGAAGAAGCACCGGCUAACUCCGUGCCAGCAGCCGCGGUAAUAC